rnacentral:RNase_P_RNA from 1 species
GAAGCUGGCUAGACAAUCGCCGCCUGCUUUUCAGCAAUGGAAGCAGGGGGAGGAAAGUCCGGGCUCCACAGAGCAGGAUGCCGGUUAAUGGCCGGCCGCCGAAAGGCGAGGAACAGGGCCACAGAGACGAGCGUAUUAAGUUACGGUGAAACGCGGUAACCUCCAUCCGGAGCAAGACCAAAUAGGCAGGCGAAGAUGCUGCUCGCUGAGCCUGCGGGUGGGUCGCUUGAGCGCACGGGCAACCGUGCGCCUAGAGGAAUGAUUGUCCACGACAGAACCCGGCUUACCGGCCAGCUUCUUCU